rnacentral:rRNA from 1 species
GACGAACGCUGGCGGCGUGCUUAACACAUGCAAGUCGAACGCUGAAGCUCAGCUUUUGUUGGGUGGAUGAGUGGCGAACGGGUGAGUAACACGUGAGUAACCUGCCUCCUUCUUUGGGAUAACACCCGGAAACGGGUGCUAAUACUGGAUAUUCACUGGUCUUCGCAUGGGGGUUGGUGGAAAGGGUUUUUCUGGUGGGGGAUGGGCUCGCGGCCUAUCAGCUUGUUGGUGGGGUGAUGGCCUACCAAGGCUUUGACGGGUAGCCGGCCUGAGAGGGUGACCGGUCACAUUGGGACUGAGAUACGGCCCAGACUCCUACGGGAGGCAGCAGUGGGGAAUAUUGCACAAUGGGCGCAAGCCUGAUGCAGCGACGCCGCGUGAGGGAUGGAGGCCUUCGGGUUGUGAACCUCUUUCGCUCAUGGUCAAGCCGCAACAAUGGUUGUGGUGAGGGUAGUGGGUAAAGAAGCGCCGGCUAACUACGUG